rnacentral:rRNA from 1 species
GCUGGCGGCGUGCCUAAUACAUGCAAGUCGAGCGGAACCUUAGGAGCUUGCUCCUUUGGUUUAGCGGCGGACGGGUGAGUAACACGUGGGCAACCUGCCCUGCAGAUCGGGAUAACUCCGGGAAACCGGUGCUAAUACCGAAUAGUUUGCGGCCUCUCCUGAGGCUGCACGGAAAGACGGUUUCGGCUGUCACUGCAGGAUGGGCCCGCGGCGCAUUAGCUAGUUGGUGAGGUAACGGCUCACCAAGGCCACGAUGCGUAGCCGACCUGAGAGGGUGAUCGGCCACACUGGGACUGAGACACGGCCCAGACUCCUACGGGAGGCAGCAGUAGGGAAUCUUCCGCAAUGGACGAAAGUCUGACGGAGCAACGCCGCGUGAGUGAAGAAGGUUUUCGGAUCGUAAAACUCUGUUGUGAGGGAAGAAUACGUACCAGCUAACUACUGGUACCUUGACGGUACCUCACCAGAAAGCCACGGCUAACUACGUGCCAGCAGCCGCGGUAAUACGUAGGUGGCAAGCGUUGUCCGGAAUUAUUGGGCGUAAAGCGCGCGCAGGCGGUCCUUUAAGUCUGAUGUGAAAGCCCACGGCUCAACCGUGGAGGGUCAUUGGAAACUGGAGGACUUGAGUGCAAAAAAGGAAAGUGGAAUUCCAUGUUGUAGCGGUGAAAUGCGUAAAGAUGUGGAGGAACAC